CGACCGGUAACGCCAAAUCCUGCCGCCGGUCGUCGGAACGUCACCCAGGCAGGAGCGGGGGACCCACCGUUUCCCGGCGCCCACCGGCGAAGCCACCGGCUUCCCGCGUCAAGGGCGCCUCGGGGUGAAGCCGCCCAUUCCGCGGCCGGGCACCUCAGUCCGAACCCGACAGCUCACCUCGUCGGCGUGGAGGAAAUCCAUG
rnacentral:sRNA from 1 species